UUUUUUUUGUAUUUUUGGUAUUUAUUGACGUGCGUAACCAAUCCGUGAUGCAGUGAAGUUACACUUUUAUUCAAGAAAAAAACAUACUUCCAUUAUACUAAUUAAAAUUACUCAGGUUUCGAAUAUGACCGACGUAUCUGGUCUGGUGGUCCACUUACACUUAUCACAGCAAAAGUUUCUUUCGUAGUCCCGAGCCUUUAUAUUAAACUAUCUAUCUGGAAUGUUU
rnacentral:lncRNA from 1 species